rnacentral:misc_RNA from 1 species
CAGAGAAUUAAGGAGCAUUGGAGGUAACUUAUUUCUAGUAGCAAAAAAAAAUAUGUAUGUUUUUGCAUAUUGUAUGUAUGUAGACACUUAAUUGAAGAAACUAUUUAGAGCCUAGAAUGUGCAUCAGUCUAUUACUCUAUUUGUAAUCUGAUUGAUUAUGUAGGAGGCUUUGAUUUAAAGGUGCAUCCACAAAAAUCCCAUUUGGGUGAUGUUGUGGUGUUGGCACAUAUGGAAUGGAGAAUUAGUUAAGGGGAGAUUAGUUAAGUGAGCUGUUGGUUAGUUGAAUUGUUGCAACAGAGAAUGAGUGACACAUAAGAUGUAUAAAUACAUUG